AGAGUUUGAUCCUGCUCAGAUUGAAACGCUGGCGGCAGGCCUAACACAUGCAAGUCGAGCGGAAACAGAAAGUAGCUUGCUACUUUGCUGUCGAGCGGCGGACGGGUGAGUAAUGCCUAGGUAUCUGCAGUAGUGGGGGAUAGCCCAGAGAAAUUUGGAUUAAUACCGCAUACACCCUACGGGGAAAAGGAGGCCUCUUCUUGAAAGCUUCCGCUAUUAGAUGAGCCUGCGUCGGAUUAUCUAGUUGGUGAGGUAAUGGCUCACCAAGGCUCCGAUCCGUAGCUGGUCUGAGAGGAUGAUCAGCCACACUGGGACUGAGACACGGCCCAGACUCCUACGGGAGGCAGCAGUGGGGAAUAUUGCACAAUGGGCGCAAGCCUGAUGCAGCCAUACCGCGUGUGUGAAGAAGGCCUUAGGGUUGUAAAGCACUUUCAGUGGGGAGGAAAGGUUAGUCGUUAAUAUCGGUUAUCUGUGACGUUACCCACAGAAGAAGCACCGGCUAACUCCGUGCCAGCAGCCGCGGUAAUACGGAGGGUGCAAGCGUUAAUCGGAAUUACUGGGCGUAAAGCGCGCGUAGGUGGUUAGUUAAGCUGGAUGUGAAAGCCCCGGGCUCAACCUUGGAACUGCAUUUGAAACUGGUUAACUAGAGUUUUGUAGAGGGUGGUAGAAUUUCAGGUGUAGCGGUGAAAUGCGUAGAGAUCUGAAGGAAUACCAGUGGCGAAGGCGGCCACCUGGACAAAGACUGACACUGAGGCGCGAAGGCGUGGGGAGCAAACGGGAUUAGAUACCCUGGUAGUCCCCACGCCGUAAACGAUGUCAACUAGCCGACUGGCGCCUUGAGCGCUGGGUGGCGCAGCUAACGCAUUAAGUUGACCGCCUGGGGAGUACGGCCGCAAGGUUAAAACUCAAAUGAAUUGACGGGGGCCCGCACAAGCGGUGGAGCAUGUGGUUUAAUUCGAUCAAAACGCGAAGAACCUUACCUACUCUUGACAUCCACAGAACUUCGCAGAGAUGCUUAGGUGCCUUCGGGAACUGUGAGACAGGUGCUGCAUGGCUGUCGUCAGCUCGUGUUGUGAAAUGUUGGGUUAAGUCCCGCAACGAGCGCAACCCCUAUCCUUAGUUGCCAGCACGUAACGGUGGGAACUCUAGGGAGACUGCCGGUGAUAAGCCGGAGGAAGGUGGGGACGACGUCAAGUCAUCAUGACCCUUACGGGAUGGGCUACACACGUGCUACAAUGGCAAGUACAGAGGGCAGCAAUACCGCGAGGUGGAGCGAAUCCCACAAAGCUUGUCGUAGUCCGGAUUGGAGUCUGCAACUCGACUCCGUGAAGUCGGAAUCGCUAGUAAUCGUGGAUCAGAAUGCCACGGUGAAUACGUUCCCGGGCCUUGUACACACCGCCCGUCACACCAUGGGAGUGGGUUGCAAAAGAAGUGGCUAGUCUAACCUUCGGGAGGACGGUCACCACUUUGUGAUUCAUGACUGGGGUGAAGUCGUAACAAGGUAACCCUAGGGGAACCUGGGGUUGGAUCACCUCCUUA
rnacentral:rRNA from 1 species